rnacentral:rRNA from 1 species
AGGACGAGCGCUGGCGGCGUGCUUAACACAUGCAAGUCGAGCGAGGCCCUUCCUUCGGGAAGGUGCCCUAGCGGCGAACGGGUGAGUAACACGUGGGCAACCUGCCCCUAGCACUGGGAUAACUCCGGGAAACCGGGGCUAAUACCGGAUAUUACCUUCUUGGGCAUCCUCGAAGGUGUAAAGGAUUCUGGCUAGGGAUGGGCCCGCGGCCUAUCAGCUUGUUGGUGGGGUAACAGCCUACCAAGGCGACGACGGGUAGCCGGCCUGAGAGGGUGACCGGCCACACUGGGACUGAGACACGGCCCAGACUCCUACGGGAGGCAGCAGUGGGGAAUCUUGCACAAUGGGCGAAAGCCUGAUGCAGCGACGCCGCGUGAGGGAUGACUGCCUUCGGGUUGUAAACCUCUUUCAGCAGGGACGAAGCGAAAGUGACGGUACCUGCAGAAGAAGCACCGGCCAACUACGUGCCAGCAGCCGCGGUAA